AGGACGCAAAGUUGAUGACAUCACCGUUAUUAGGGAAGAGUCUGUGGGAGCCAGACAGGAAGUGACCAAAGAGUUUAACUUCACAAUAAGAGACAGUCGUGGUGGUUCAGUGCAGAGCAGGAGACUCACAGGGCGGGUCGAACCCCGACCAGCAGCAGCACUCUGAGCGCGAUGCGUUUGUGGAGGUUCCAGUGCUCCACAGCCACGGCCACCAUCAGCCCCCCCACAAACAGCAUGUUGGUGUCCUUCAGUCUUACGUCUUUGGACUGCAUGAUGCCGAGGACGGGGAACAGGAUGGUCGGCAGCAGCGCCGUCACCGGCAGCGGCAACACCUCAGUGCACCAGUACACCGCCAUGAGGGCUAUGACAUAAGCACAGGCCGCCUCCUACAC